UGGGGAAUAUUGGACAAUGGGCGAAAGCCUGAUCCAGCCAUGCCGCGUGUGUGAAGAAGGUCUUCGGAUUGUAAAGCACUUUAAGUUGGGAGGAAGGGCAUUAACCUAAUACGUUAGUGUUUUGACGUUACCGACAGAAUAAGCACCGGCUAACUCUGUGCCAGCAGCCGCGGUAAUACAGAGGGGGCAAGCGUUAAUCGGAAUUACUGGGCGAAAAGCGCGCGUAGGUGGUUUGUUAAGUUGGAUGUGAAAUCCCCGGGCUCAACCUGGGAACUGCAUUCAAAACUGACUGACUAGAGUAUGGUAGAGGGUGGUGGAAUUUCCUGUGUAGCGGUGAAAUGCGUAGAUAUAGGAAGGAACACCAGUGGCGAAGGCGACCACCUGGACUAAUACUGACACUGAGGUGCGAAAGCGUGGGGAGCAAACA
rnacentral:rRNA from 1 species